UUAAGUUCAGCGGGUAUCCCUACCUGAUCCGAGGUCAAGAAAUGAAGGUGGCUUCUGGAGAGCCGAUCCGUCGGGCACGAGACGCUAAUCUGCUGCGCUCGAAGCCAACGUACCGGCUGCCAAUGUUUUUGAGGCGAGUCCGCGCGCGAGCGGCGGGACAGACACCCAACACCAAGCUGAGCUUGAGGGUUUAAAUGACG
rnacentral:misc_RNA from 1 species